rnacentral:rRNA from 1 species
UACAUGGGGUGCAAACGUUGCUCGGAAUUAUUGGGCGUAAAGCGCACGUAGGCGGUCCGUUAAGUCGGAUGUGAAAGCCCCCGGCUCAACCGGGGAAGUGCAUCCGAAACUGGCGGGCUAGAGUACGAAAGAGGGUCGCGGAAUUCCCGGUGUAGAGGUGAAAUUCGUAGAUAUCGGGAGGAACACCGGUGGCGAAGGCGGCGACCUGGGCCAAUAUUGACGCUGAGGUGCGAAAGCGUGGGGAGCAAACAGG